UACAGAGGGUGCAAGCGUUGUUCGGAAUUACUGGGCGUAAAGCGCGUGUAGGCUGCCUUGCAAGUCGGGUGUGAAAGCCCUGGGCUCAACCUAGGAAGUGCACUCGAAACUGCAAGGCUGGAGUCCUGGAGAGGAAGGCGGAAUUCUCGGUGUAGAGGUGAAAUUCGUAGAUAUCGAGAGGAACACCGGUGGCGAAGGCGGCCUUCUGGACAGUGACUGACGCUGAGACGCGAAGGCGUGGGGAGCAAACAGG
rnacentral:rRNA from 1 species